rnacentral:misc_RNA from 1 species
AAGUCGUAACAAGGUUUCCGUAGGUGAACCUGCGGAAGGAUCAUUAACACGUAUCCAAACGUUAAAACCCCCCCCGUGAACCUUCAUCCUGCUGUUGUAACCCGCGUAGUUCGCAAUCUCUGAUAAAUCAUAGCCCGGAAAGUUGUAGUGAUUCAGAGACCUCUGUCAGUGUCGGAAAGUGUCAUUGAUUGUGCAAGGAUAGCGCUUCUACGAUUCCUGUAGACCGUACACUCGGGCAGGAGCUUUGCCAAAGGGUCCCCAUGCCCCCUAAUAACCCCACAGUUUAAUGUGAAGCUCAAUGUAAUACAUUGGGUAAAAAAACCGAACAACGGUUAACAAUGGAUAUCUUGGUUCUC